GAGAGGGGGACUUUCCAUUAUUUUAAGAAAAAAAAGGAAAAAAAAGCAGAGGACAUCCAUGGCCUCCAUUUUUUUUCUCAAGCACCCACGCACUAAAUCCUUUCUCUUGGACACGAAAUUGAGCACACACUCACUCUCAUAAUAAGACCCAAAUCAUCAUCCGCACUCUGUUCAAACCCCUUCCCAAAUUCUUUGUUUGCUUGAUUUCUUCUUGAAGUAAAACAGUAAAGUCAGCUAAAUCGAACAUAUGUCGUCGUCUUCCGUCACCGGAGCUCCAGUCGUAGGUUUACUCUUUUGUGUUUUCUUAGCAAUUUGGGUCUUGUUGGCCCCCUCUUCUCAACGGAUUUCCUAUUCGGUUUGGAUUUCGAGGGUCUCGCGUUUGAUUCUACGUUUUUCAUUACAAUUUAUAUUUUGGAUAUUCUGUUCAUUCCUAACUGGUUUGGAAUUCGGAUCGGUCCGAGCAGCGGGUCUUUGACCGCGAGUUGGAUCAGCCAUUGUUGAGGUUUAUUCUUCUUCCAUGAGUUCAGUUGAUGACGUGGUUUCAUGGUUUUUUGAAUGUGCGUGAAUCCUUGUAAUUGGUGUGGUUUGAUUCAUUGACUUUUAUAUUGAAAUUAAUUAAUGGUUUGGUCGAAGGGAUUGUAUUUAUUCAUCGGGGAAUGCCCGAAGUAUCAUGUACUUGAAGACGGCGCACGGUCAAGGCCCGGAACGUCGGGUGGAUUUCAGUUCAGGAGUAGUUUACGAUUAGUUUAGAAUAGAAUAGGUUUAUAUUUUCGCAUUUUUCAUUUUUCGGGACUGUAUAAUUGGACUUGACACUAAAUUUUGGAUUGUUUCAUCUUGUUUGC